UACAGAGGGUGCGAGCGUUAAUCGGAAUUACUGGGCGUAAAGCGUGCGUAGGCGGUUUCUCAAGUCCGCUGUGAAAUCCCCGGGCUCAACCUGGGAAUGGCAGUGGAAACUAGGAGACUUGGAAUCUGGCAGAGGGGGGUGGAAUUCCGACGUGUAGCAGUGAAAUGCGUAGAGAUGUGGAGGAACACCGAUGGCGAAGGCAGCCCCCUGGGCUGAGAUUGACGCUCAGGCACGAAAGCGUGGGGAGCAAACAGG
rnacentral:rRNA from 1 species